rnacentral:rRNA from 1 species
CGGGAAUCUUCCGCAAUGGACGAAAGUCUGACGGAGCAACGCCGCGUGAGCGAUGAAGGCCUUCGGGUCGUAAAGCUCUGUUGUCAGGGAAGAACAAGUAUCGGAGUAACUGCCGGUACCUUGACGGUACCUGACCAGAAAGCCACGGCUAACUACGUGCCAGCAGCCGCGGUAAUACGUAGGUGGCAAGCGUUGUCCGGAAUUAUUGGGCGUAAAGCGCGCGCAGGCGGUCCUUUAAGUCUGAUGUGAAAGCCCACGGCUCAACCGUGGAGGGUCAUUGGAAACUGGGGGACUUGAGUGCAGAAGAGGAAAGCGGAAUUCCACGUGUAGCGGUGAAAUGCGUAGAGAUGUGGAGGAACACCAGUGGCGAAGGCGGCUUUCUGGUCUGUAACUGACGCUGAGGCGCGAAAGCGUGGGGAGCAAAC